GACACGCGGAGGGGUGGGGAUGCUUCGUUCUGCCUCAGAAACUCCCCCUCUCCAAACUUCUCAGCUUCCCGUGGGUGACCUUGAACUCACGACAAGCACUGUUCAUCAAGCAUCAGAAAGAAGAGAUGACAGCAGGAAGAGUAGAACACACUUCCUUAAUCCUUUAAAAGUGAGUUUUUGAAGUAAGCGAGCUCCAUGAUUGACAUUCCUUCUGAUAUGACAUGUGCUGUGGAAGGUAAAUAAAACCACAUACAGACAAA
rnacentral:lncRNA from 1 species